GGAGUUGUGGCUCAGUGAUAGAGCACACACCUUGCACGGGUGAGGCACUGGGUUCGAUCCUCAGCACCA
rnacentral:tRNA from 1 species